AUAGUAAAACUAGAUUUUUUUCUUUUUUUCCAGAUGCUACCAGCAGGGUGGACUAAUCCUGUAUUGCAUAAGAUUGCAAACGUACAGUUACAUUCCCCACUAAACUAUGAAAGCUCUAAAAAGAUACAUAAAGUUUCAGCAUUGGGAAGGCAGCUGAAAAAACAGAGCAAUAGUCAUACAUAUACACAUUAUAUGAUUUAGAGUCAUGUGUUAAGAAUUCAAUAUGUAUUAAUUGAUCCUAUACAUUUGGGGUUUGGAGUGUAUUGGUGUCCAUCUCCUUAACUGUCCAUAAUGCAGGUUGGCUGGAGUCAUCUACUCUGUGAAAAAUAGCACUUCUUCAGGAUUGAGAGAAAUCCCUUUACAUCAAAUAAUUCACAAGUAUUUUAUUUCUUUGGUUAGGUAGGAAAAUAGUGCAGAUCUCCUUUCACAGGAUGGGGAAACUGAGGCACAGAUGGGCUGAAACUGGGUGUGAAGGAGUGCUGUGACCCACUGGAAAAGGGCACCUACUGCAACCCAUAAAACACAGCAAGCCUUUCCAGUUAAAUAAGGAACAAUUCCUUCACCUCUUAGCUAAAAAACUGUAGUGUUAUUGGUAUUCUCAUGCAGUGCCACACUUGGGAGGAGUGCUGGUCCUCAUGUUCAGGGCGAUUUUUGUAGUGCUCUGACAGUAAUGAGGCAGAGGUGGAGAGACUGGGGUUAAAAACCAGAGAAUGGGAAACUGUAAGCAUGGGGACAUGGCUGCUUGUGCUAUCUUGACUCAAAUGGCUCAGAAUAUUUUCUACUUUCAUGCAGUAUACAAAACCCAAAAAUGGUAACACAAAGCCUCACGUUUUAGGUAUUGUACUAGCACACAGGUUUUGUCUAAACAGGGGGUUUUAAUGAAAUCUGCUGGAGGUUGAUUUACCCUAAUGUAACACCCAGCCAUGGAAGGGCAGGGGACAUGCUGCUUCUAAUAAAGUCCAUUUAGCUUCUGACAUAGAUUACUUUUUAAAAAAAAAAAAAAAAAACAACCAAACAACCAAAAAAAAAAAACCACACCAAACACACAAGUGUGAUAAAGUAUCUCAGUAUAAAAUCAAUACUGAGGCGAUUAGCAGCCUUUGAAAAAUUCUGGCUCUAAGUCAGCUCAUGGCAGAGAUCAAAUGGAGGUGCUGUCAACUCCUUGGGCAUUUUACUUUGCUACUGAUAUAUGGCAGUUAAAAUAAUCUAAAAUUAUUCCCAUUAUUCCUGCUUUUUCUCCCUUUUCCCUGGGGGAGCACCACACAGCCAAGCACCCAUCCCGCCCACCUCCCAGUCUGCAGCAUCACCUCCCCGCCCAGCGCUCCCCAUCCGCAGGACGGCCCAUGCCCAGGGGGGAGGCCCCAGCCUGUCAAGGUUUUCUUAGAGGUUCCUACACUUUGGGGGAAAACUGGAGCUAAGGCUGAUCAGCCGUGAGCUGCCACAGCCAGCCCCAAGUCCCUCCGUCUGAUUCCCAGCUGCUGCCGGGAGCAAUCUGCGGUCCCAGGUGGAUAGCACUGGUCAGCAGCCAGCACGCCAAGGGGAGCUCAGUCCUCUACUAGAGAGAAGGAUUGAAGCAUUCUCUAGCCCUUCAGCCAACUCAGGAUGAAGUUCUGUUGGGUGCUGACUGCAGUUUGUUGUGCUGCCAGGGGCACAGGGGUGGACAAUAAGCUUGGAAAAAUCAAGGACCUCAAACCUGAUGGAGAAGAUGUGAGCUGAGGCGUGGGAAAUAGAUGGCUGGAUGGAAAUCAAAUGAAGAUGUCAAAACAGUGCUACCUCUGCCCCAGGCAGAAAGGAGACACGGUGACCCCCAAGUCCUUUCAAACAGGAGCUUAGCUUGUGUGAAGAGAAAGCAUCUCUGGCAUCCUCAUAAUUGAAGGCAGAGCUAGAUAAAGGAUGAGCAAAGAAAACCAGAGGAAAAUAAGAGUGUAAGAAUCUGGAUCUGAAAUCUGUGGCCUUAAAGAGAGGAAAAACCAGGAAGCCCAGCAUCAAGCCACCAAAACAGCACAGAAAUCCUGCUCAGGGGAAUCAGCCUCUCAGGUCCCUCAGCCGUGCUGGGAACAGACCGAGGGGAUGCCCUGACAACUGCCACAUCCCGGCGCUCCGGCCCUGCCCGGCAUCCAGGAGCAGCUCCCUGCAAGAGCCCUGCAAACGGCACUGCUGCACUCCUAGUCUUCGGAGGGAGGAGGGGGCAUGUCAAGAGCACGCUUUCAGACCAAUCUUCGCUAAAUUAUUUUUCUGAAUUGCUUGCCUUGGUCUAGAAUGGAAUGAGGGAGCAAAUUUUUUAUGAUUAUGGAGGAAUAACUGCAAGGUCAAAAUCCCUACUGGAAGUGGGGAUUGCACCCACGGACUGGAGCACAAGUAAAUUACCAACUAUUAGGGGCUGAUGAACAAAAAAACCCUGAAAUUGAAGCUCAAGUUACAGUAAUAAGGAUGCACAGGAGACAAAAUUGCAUUAGGACAUGCACUAUCUUCUGGAUUCACCACCGGGAGGAGGGGAUUCAGAGCCGCCCCUCGGAGCACUGUCAGGUCUCCAUCAGCUUCCCCGGCCCUUACAUAGGACUGUGUCUUUUAAUUAUCACCCACCAUAGUCAUAUUAGGGUUGCCUGUGUCAAUCUGCAUUUGCAGCACACUGCGGUACAACAGUUCCCUGCUCCUCCAUAGAAAUAGCAGGUGUUAUUGGCAACAUAAUUACAUGCCAUUAAUAAUUAUCAAAAAUAUAAAUUGCCCCAAAGAUGCUUACAAGCAAAUCGGAUAUGGUAUUUCACAGUGUUUCUUUCAAACACAGGCCACCGAGGUGAUGCUGGUAUUGAAGUGGAAAGCUGUAAUUAGGUGAACGUGAGAAGCAGAAGAGGAACCUGAUGAGGCAAAGCAAGAGAAACCGGGACUGGGGACCCUGCCGCUGAAACCGCCGUGCGAAGGGUCAGUGGCCCGAGGCUGGGGGCACCCGCUCAAACAAAACUGUUUCUGAGUAAGCUCGAGCUGCCUUCAGAAAACAGUUGAGAUCCAGAGGGCUGGAAAGGGGAACAGCAAGAAAUCAGCACUCCAGAGGGGGAUGAUCUUGUGCCAGGGGGGAUAACGGGGCUCCAUCGCUGGAUGGAGCAUCCUCUCAGCAGGAGCAAAAAUGGGGACCCCCUGCGCCUGGAGAGCUCCGAGGCUGGGGGGGGGGGGGGGGGGGGGGGGGGGGGCACAUGCAGCACUGUAAUACCCACAUACCCGCAUUUAUAUCUUCUUUUAUCAAAAAACCAAAAAGAUAAGCUAAAUGCUGUGAGCAGCGUGUCACUGCUGCCCGAGCCAGACAGUGUGGCUCAGUCCUCUCUGCUUUCCACCACCAUGGCAGAAGAUGCCCCACGUCACGGGAGUGAGAUGGAUGAUAUCAGGGAAAGGAGAGGAAGGUCAUAACCUCAGUACGUGGGGCAACUCCAGAGUAGCUACUAUAAGAAAAUUCAAGUGCUAAACGGCCUGAAAACACCUUAUCCAGGACAAUAUUCUGUUGGUUGCAGAGGAAGUCAAAGUUGUCUCUGACGGCUUGAAGUGGUUAACUAUACAGCUUCUUUAAACCAGGGAAUUAAUGACACUGAACUUCACAACAACAACAAAAAAUUAAAGGCACCCCAAAGAAUGUUCUCUUAAUUGUAGCAGCCUGCUACAUUAAAGCUGCUAUAGGAAAAUUCAUUUACAAUUCAGCUAUUAAAUUGCAAACCAUUACCACUGCUUUUAUAGCUUUAUAUUCCUCUAACAAAUUUAUUAUGUAAUUACUCUGUGCAACAGCAUCGUUUCUAGCAAGCAAAGUUGAAAUAAGGCACCUAUUUCAAAAUCCUAACAAUUCUGCGUUUUCCAGAUGUAAUUUAUACAAAAAAUGGAAAAACAUCACGGUGCAGUUUUCUGCCUAGGACUCUGAGACUUUUGAGUACGGAGCUGGAGUCUUGACUGUUACCUGGCUUUAGUUAUGAUUAGUAAAUACCCACAUUUUGGAUGUCUAAGGGCUGGGGCUCAGACCCCCAUGAGGACCAAUGUCAGGGAUUGUUGCAUGUGUCGUUCUGAGCCAGAACGGGCAGAACUGGGCAAUAAAGGCGGGAUAGAAGUGCUCGGCUCCAACAACGGCCAUUUAUUGCUGUAGGAAAUGCAAUUGCUUUGCUGGCCUCGGGACUUGCUCCAAUGGCUCUCUGCAGCGGCACAGCUGGGGCUCGGGGAGCUGGCGUUUUCCCACCUGCCAGGGUAGGACCCCCAACCAAUUCACUGCUUCCAAAAUAAAACAUAAUAAAAUUAAAUUUAAAAAAUUG